rnacentral:lncRNA from 1 species
CACAUUUCUUUACCCAAAUAUAUGAAUUUGUACCCCCACGGUUAAAGGCCUAUUUUUUCUCUCUUCCUUUCUAUUUCUUUCCAAUAUUUUAUACCUAAAAAAGAUAUCUAUAAAGAUACACAUAUAUUUAAAUGACAUAUAAAUAUAGUAUAUACUAGCAAGUAUAAAUUUACCUGUAAAUUUAUAUAGUAUAUAAUAAUUAGGCAAAUACCUAUGAAUCCACCAUUUAACUUAGUGCCAAAUGAUCCUAAUGAAGUAGAACAAUACCAAAUGACCCUAAUGUCUCAGUUUCCCUCAUUCAGGGCACAUGAUCAGAUGGUACUUCCCCACUCCCUUGAAGAUAUACAUGGUCUUGUGACUUGUUCUGGUCAACAGAAUGCCACUUCUGGAUGUCCUAUAAGAGCCAGUGCCUGCUUUGUCACAUUCCCUCCCCCCACCACACUUACUAGAGACACAGCAAUUGGUGGAGAUCCUUUUCACUGGCCCAUAAUGAACCUUUGUUGUAUUUAAGCCAUCGAGAUUUCAAGGGCUGUUUGUUAUGGCAGGAUAACUAGCCCCACUGUAUCUGAAACUUCAUGUAUAUCCCUUAGUAGUCGUAUUCCUUUCCCUCUUUCAAAGAGAUAACCAGUGUUAAAACAAGGUCACUCAUCCCAAUAAGUUAUUUUGUUUUGGAAAUUGUUAUUUUUUAUAAACCUCUUAUUUAUGUCAGUAGUAAUGCACUUAUUAUUGUUACGUUUAAGUGAGUUAUUAAUUUUUUGAAUUCUUAGGUUUAAUUUCUAAUGUGGUCAAUAUUGGUUGAUAUUACUCACUUAAGCAAAAGUUAUUUGGGGUCCUCAACAAAAUUUCAGAGUGUAAAGGGGUCCUGAGACCAAAUGGUUUGAGAACCGCUACUCUAGGACGCAAAACUAAGAAUGGAAUUUCUAGGUUGGUUUUGCACAUCUUUGAAUUUUCUGUGUAAUGCAACAAGCUCUCCCAAGUGGUUGUACCAAGUCACUCUCCCACCAGAAGCACUGAAGAGUUCCUAUAGCAGCACAGACCAUCUACCUUCUCUGAAAGCCUCAGGAAGGGGAUGAAUUUUAAAAGCAUCCCCUCCUCCCCUCUGUCUCCACCUGCCCCACACAGGAUUUCCAGGUGGACUUCCCAGGUGAACUAGACUUACUGUCCACUUCUUGAGAGGAGGGGGCUCCCUUGGCUCUGGGGAGCACGGCGAGGCUCUGAAGUCAAAGAAAUCAUGAAAUGCCCCAACCCCAGUGGGGAGAGCUGUGGGUUGGGGUUCUGGAAAGGAGAAUGAGUUACUGUCAACUGAAGGUCUGCUUAUCCACUUUGGGUCUCAUUGGAGCCAUGCUGAUCUUAGACCUCUCUACAAUUAUAAACAUGUAACUUCUUUCCCACUCCUCGUCAAGAUCCCUUGGUCCCCCAUUAGAGAUUUCCUUCCCUGACUCACCUUGCCAGAGCAGUCAGCCAAGGCAGGUUGUCUAAACAUCUGUAUCCUUUAUUUAUCCUCUGCAGCCUAAAAAAGCCUUCCAGAGGCCAAGGCUGGCCCUCUGGCUUUAAUGGGCUAGAAAGGAGCUUUCCUGGACUUCCCCAGCCCUGUCCUAGAAGAGAGAAUCUAGUAAGGCCUGUUCCUCCCUCUGAAAUAUGAAUAGGUAGAGCUGAUUUUUGCACUCCAUUAUUCCAAAGCAUUCUCAGUCAAGGACCUGAAUAGUUUAUAACAUUCCUCCUUUGAAAACAAACACACACACCUGGGAAUAAAUGCAUUCAUGGGAAGUAGGCUGGCCAUGUGUUCAACAGCAUGGAAGAAUAAAAGCCCUCUUGAUUUGCAGAAGCAUGUUUACUCAGAACAGUUUUUAAACACAAAAAAAUGCUGCUGGGUUGUGUCCACUCCCUUCAAUGCCCUCUUCCCUCUGCCCUUCCCACAAAUCCCCCACUUCCGGCACAAGCUGGCAGGAACUUGCUGUUCCUCAGGCCUGGGAGGCCUGCCAGAGCCCUCCCAUUUUCCGGAGAGAUUUUCUUCUAUUUCUAAGUAGAGUUGUUUAAAACCGGAUGCCACAUGGAGCCUGGGCUCCUUGCCCUUCAACCCCCCCUCGCUAACCCCUGGCCCCACCGAGCAGGCUCCUCCUCCCUUCACUGUUGUUGACUUUGGAGCUUGACAGUGUAACCACAGCUGAGCUCCUUCUGUGGAGCAGGCAGGCACAGGCUCCAGGCCAAUCGGGGGAAGCUGCCAGAGGAAAUUGCACUGGGCAGUGAGGCUCCCCAAAGGCCUUCCAGCCACCUCUUCUCUUAAGGCCCACCUUUCCUUCUCCUCCAGCCUCACUGUCCUAGCAUCCUCGGGCCAGAAGAAUUAGACCAGCUCCCCCAGCCCAAGUCCCUCAGAUGGGGGCAGACUUAAGCCAGCACAAAUGACAGAUAGUCUAGCUGAAAAAAAACAACAAAAGGAGUGUCAAUGGUUUUCAUUCAUUCUGUUCCAAUACACAGCCAUUCAUUCACUUGUUUUUUAUCCAACAAAGUAUCUGCCAUGUACCAAGUGCUAUUCACAGUAUUGUGCUGUCACGGAUCUUAUGUGCUGAUAGACAUUAGGAAUUUUAUACAAGGAAGGAAGGAAUAGGUUGUUGUUGGAAAUAUGACAAUAAAGCAAGUAAUUAGAAGGCUGCUCAGACUCAGAGUAUGAAAACAUCCUUUGGCCCUGUUGCAAUCUUAUAGGUGUAUCCAGGGCUCCCCAGGCCUGAAGCCCAGAUCUAGUAAUCAGGAAGGCCGGGAAACCUACCAUGAGUAUAAUGGCUAAUGGGAGUGGGAAAUUGGAAUUGCAGCUUUGGAUUUCCCCCAACACAUGUGCAGGAGGAAGUGAGCUAUCUGAAGCUUGGAGGCGUGGGCCCUAGGCCCAGCAGCAGCAGACCCCUCGGCUCAUGUAUGGGGAGCAGCUGGCAGUUAUGGGGUCUCCCCCAGGCUCAGGGAGGGGCCUUUGGCCUCCUUCCCUGGUGCUAUAGGAGCUGUGAAUCCAUUAUACCCACAGGUCAUCCAUGACAACAGUGGGGGCGGUAGGGGGGAUGGCGAGUCCAAAAAGAAACAGCCACUGCUUUCCUCAAGAGCUGUGGUGAUACCUACGACUUCGCAAAUAGAAUUCAGUUUUCCAUGGUGAACUAGUCACCUUGUGGGAGCCUUGAUUGCUGUUCCUGAUUAUUGCAUCUUAGGCAAGGCCUCUGACAUUUUGCUUUCAGUUUCUCUGCAUUUGGCUUAUCUGUCACACGGAUAGCAAUCUAUAAAUAUGCAUUCAUUCAUUCGAUGAAGAUGCACUGCAUGGCAACCAUGUGCCAGACCCUGUGCGGGAUGCUGAGAAUGCUCUUUUGGAGGAAAGGCAUGGGCCCUGCCCAGAGGGUUGGGAUGGGAGUGGCAGCCACCUAAGAAAAGCUCUCAUGGAGGAACCAGUGAGCUGAGUGUCUGGGGCAGACAGAAAGGCACUCCUGACUUCCCCAAGGGGCAGGUGAGAGUUCAUCCAGUAUUGGCUGCACUGUGCUAGGCACUGGGAUCUCAAGGGGCUUAGUUCAGGAGGGACAGUAGACUUUCCAAGGUAGGCUCCUGACAGACACAGAGCCAGGAGCUUGGUAGUGAGAGUGAAAAACCUGUACAAAAGCUGGGAAGGGGGAAAGGGCAAGGUUCACAGGAGGCCAAAGAGUGAUUCCCAAAGUGGGGAGCCUGAGUGCGGGGGUGGGGAGGUGGCCUGAUUGGAAGAGAGCUUUGGACUGAGGGUGGAGAUGCCAGAGAGUGUAUAUGGAUAGAAGACUUGCCAAGGAGAGUUUGGACUUUGUCCUAUAAUAAGAAGGAAGCAUGGAGGGUUUUAAAAGCAGGACAUGAUCAGAUUUGAGAGAUACACUCACAAACAUACAUACAUGUAUUUAUAUAUUACACACACAUAUACACAUAUAGCUAUCUAUAAAGUCAACUAAAAUAUCUAACUAUUCUAAGUAUAUAUACACUUUAAUUACAUAUAUGUAUAUAGUUCACCCUUAUAAACCUAGAUAAGUUACUAUGCUUUUGUUCCUCUAUUCAAUCUUCCCUAGUCAGUCACAGGCCUGCACAUUGCCCAGGAGAAUUACGAUUAUCUUAGCAGAAAUAUAAAGAGACAAACACAGUUAGUAAUCAGUUGGGGUUCUUCCCCUUUCUUCCAAAUGAUGCUCUCGUGAAUCAAUAAGCAAGGCUCUGGGGAAGUGAAUCUGGAAGAGAACAGAAGAGGGGUAGGCAGAGGACACCCUUCCCAAGGGGACAGGGUGGUAAUGGCACAGAAGGAAGCUAGAAAUGCAGGUGGACCUGGGGAGGACUGUGCGUGAGUGACUUCCAGCCCCUUGCAUGUUCAGAACAAGGGAUGGAGCAAAAAUGAUGCCUAUGCCUCUGGCCUGUUCCACGUCUUACCACCAGCAGAUCUCCAGCCUGAGCAGAAGAGGUUCAAGUUAUACAUCGAAAGCUGGCUGAGCACUGUGGUGGUCACACUGCAGAGGGAGGAGGGUGUUGAUCCUGAAACUGGUUGAGGUCAGGGACUAGGAUAGACCUCACUCUCCCACUCCAAAAAUACCCCAGAAGUGUAGUCCCUGAGACUCCACACAAGGGGGAAGAUAUAUGGAUAUGUGUGUGUGUGUAUAUAUAUAUAUAUAUUUAUACACUCACUUCCUUUCUUCUCUCCUUCACUUAGAGUCAGACCUGCAUCAUUGUCUGACAGCUCUCCCAGCCUCUUCUGGCUCUUUCCUCAUUUUUUCUCACACACAAUUCUACUAAUAAAUAUAUAUCACAUAUUACUAAAAUAUUUUUUGAGGUGACUUUAAAAAUCUAUCUAAUGUAAAACAUUUUUUUGGAAGUUCCCAUUGUGGCUCAGCAAUGACAAACCUGACUAGUACCCAUGAAGAUGAAGGUUCAAUCCCUGGCCUCACUCAGUGGGUUAAGGAUGUGCAUUGCUGUGAGCUAUACUGUAGGUUGCAGACGUGGCUUGGACCUGGAGUUGCUAUGGCUGUGGUGCAGGCCGGCAGCUGUAGCUGAUUCGACCACUAACCUGGGAACUUCCAUAUGCCCC